UACGUAGGGUGCAAGCGUUAAUCGGAAUUACUGGGCGUAAAGCGUGCGCAGGCGGUCCGUUAAGACAGAUGUGAAAUCCCCGGGCUUAACCUGGGAACUGCAUUUGUGACUGGCGGGCUCGAGUAUGGCAGAGGGGGGUAGAAUUCCACGUGUAGCAGUGAAAUGCGUAGAGAUGUGGAGGAAUACCGAUGGCGAAGGCAGCCCUCUGGGCCAAUACUGACGCUCAUGCACGAAAGCGUGGGGAGCAAACAGG
rnacentral:rRNA from 1 species